GAGUUUGAUCAUGGCUCAGAACGUACGCUGGCGGCACGCCUUAUACAUGCAAGUCGAACGAAGUAGCAAUACUUAGUGGCAGACGGGUGAGUAACAUGUGGGUAUCUUCCCUUUGGUGAGGAAUAACACGAGGAAACUUGUGCUAAUACCUCAUAAGUCUUUACGGAGAAAGCUUUAUGCGCCAAUGGAUGAGCCCGCACUAGAUUAGUUGUUGGUGGGGUAAUGGCUUACCAAGACAGUGAUCUAUACCUGAUCUGAGAGGAUGAUCAGCC
rnacentral:rRNA from 1 species